rnacentral:rRNA from 1 species
AACGAACGCUGGCGGCAUGCCUAACACAUGCAAGUCGAACGAGACCUCCGGGUCAAGGGGCGUACGGGUGAGUAAGGCGCGGGAACAUGCCCGAAGGAUAGGAAUAACUGCCCGAAUGGGAUGGUAAUAACGAACAAAGGGAUCGGACCAAUGAGGUAUCGCUUUUGGAUGGGCCCGCGUCGGAUUAGCUAGUUGGUAGGGAAAGAGCCUACCAAAGCGACGUUCCAUAGCUGGUCUGAGGGGAUGCUCAGCCACACUGGGACCGAGACACGGCCCAGACCCCUACGGCAGGCUGCCGUGUGGAAUAUUGGCCUUUGCGCGAAAGCCUGAGCCAGCCAUGCCGCGUGAGUGAUGAAGGCCUUCGGGUUGUUAACUUCUCUUACACGUGCUGAUACUGACAGUACCGUGAGAAUAAGCUCCGGCUACCUCCGUG